rnacentral:snRNA from 1 species
AUUAAAUAGAUUUUGGGGACUAAGAGUUGGAAUAGGAGCUUGCUCUGUCCACUCUAUGCAUCAACGUGGUAUUACAGUACUUCCAGUAAUGGUGCACC